AAGUGCUUGUUUUUGCCACCUAACAGGCUCAGAUUGUUAAGUGUCUGACAACAUUAUGGAAAUGAUUCCUAAAGAGGUAGAGCUUUUUACUCAAGAGUAAGAUCCUUCUUGUUUAACCAGAAACUGACCUUUUAUCAAUACCAGACUCCAUUGACAAAAGCAGUAAUUUUACCAAGCAGAACACAGGAGUUGCUGCAAUACCGCUGCCUCAGUUUGUUGUUUGUCUGUGUUGUUGUGUGACUUUGAGUGGUGUAAGGAGUACUCAGAUUCUUUACUUUAGUAAAAUUACCAAACAACAAUACAAACAAACAAACAGAUGGAGGCAGCAGCUCCUGUGUUCUACUCGGUAAAAUUCCUGUUUUUGUCAAUGGAGUCUGGUAUUGACAUAUAACAAUGUUUCUGCUUAAACAAAAAGUAUGUUACUCUUUAAUAAAAAGCUCAAUCUCUGUACUGAAUUUACUGCAAAGAUCAGUGUGUGAUCACUUCCUUUUUGUGUUUUUGCAUGUGAGAAUUUCCAAAGUGAACAUGCUGAUGAGAAAAUGUGUGAUAAAAAACAACAAAGAACCUACUGUACAAAACAUAUGGUAGUCUAAUGUUGUCUCGUUAACACUCUGACUUUGAUUCAUCUUCCAUUUAAGCAGCACAACACAGUUAAUCAGUUACAAUGAUGGACGCAGCAUCGCUGGAGAACAAACGUCCGUCCACUGGAGACUAAGAGCUGUGCUGAUCGUCCCUCCUUGACUCCACGGCAACACUCACUCACUGACUCUGACCUCAGAUCAGAGGACAAUGGCUGGGUGAGAGUUACUGCUACUGCUGCUUGAGAGCUCAGUGAGUGUGUAUGUGUGUGUUCGCCCCAUUUCUCACGGCCCUUAAGAAGAAAAGAGGCCUUGUCUUGUUCCAUUAGUGACCUGAGCAGCAGCAGCACUGUUCAGCCCGGCUGACUGGAGGACAGUGCUGGUUAGACAGCACUACAUCCAGGAGUGAGGGAGGGUUAACAGAGACAGGAAGGAGACAAGGUGCAGAUAAAAAGGGAAGGGAAUAAGGCAGCAUGCAUGUACAACAGGGGGAUGACAUAUUUUUGUAGUCCAACCAGGAAGUUAGCAUCACCCUGGUUCCCUCCACAAAAAGCCAAUGAGAUUGUUUCAUUGGGUUUUGGAUUAUUCCAGAAAAUAUCAGAUAAAAACAUCAGAUAAUCUUCACAGAUGAACACCACUGUUCUGAUGUUUGAAGCCUGAAUCCAAUCUCCAGAAGUAAAAAGCUAAUGUUCGGCUAUAAACCAACUACACCACGGUCACAUGACGUCAAUGUCUCCACCACUAAGCUUCCAACUGGUCAUUUCAUUUAGCUCUGAGCUCUUCUACAAAAGCCUUUCUUCUUAGAAAGUUAGUGAGAGUUUGAAAGAGCGUGAGUAGAAACACAACAAAUCUGUUCGUCCUGAGUCCUGUGUGAUUUGUGGGUGCAACACAACCUUAUUGCUACAAGCGUUUCUUGUUCUUUCCAGACUUUAUCAAUGUUGCGUCUGUAGAAUUAGCUCUUACAGUUAACCUCGAUUAUCAGGGAGGUAAGUCAAUGUCGGAUGCAUCAUGUCUACAAGAGAGAGAGAGGAUGAGGUCCACAAUCAACAAAGACACACAUCACUGAGAUGUUACACGAGUGACAAGGUAAAUUAAUUAAUAACUGAAUUAAUAAGUGCAGCCCUUAACCAGUGUGUUAGAUUAUAGUUGGAUAAGGCAGAUUUGAUUCUGACAGCAAAUAAUGUCUGUAAAUUAGUUGACACAGUAAGUAGCAGUGGUAGCUGUUGAUGUAACGUGUUGUAUUAAAAAAAUUAAUUGUUGUUACAACUCCACAUUUCAAUCAGUCUCUCUUCAAUGUUUUCAAUUAUUCCUCCAGGGUCCAGCGGCAGGCAGGACUUGAACCUGACUCCUCCCAACUAAAGAGCUCGACCUCGCGGCCGCGAACCAACCCAUCGGACCACCAGAGCCCUUCACACUCAGCUUCUCUCUCAGCUCUUCACCCAUCAACUUCCGCUGAUUCAACCAAUCACGAGCGGAGCUAGGCGGGCCACAGUCGGUCGACCAAUCAGCGCCUUGUCUGACGACGUUGGCUAGCGUCUGUCGUCAUUCGACGAGACCUGAGCGGAGGAGAGCAGAGCGGCGGACAAACAAACACGGAAAAAACGAGUAAAAAUACGGAGUAAAAUCAACGUUUGAGUCGCCGCUUCGUCGCCUCAGUUUGUUAACACACGAAGACUCUUCAUCACCGAGGAAAUCUGGAUAUUAAAACGAGCUUUGGAGCUGUUUUUGUCGAACACGAGUGAGGCUGGACGCUGAGCACACGUGCGGCGCUAAGGUUUUUCCAGGCCUUUCCAGGUCUCCAGUCUCCCUCUCCAGCUGCUGCAGCCUGGACAGAAACACCAGCUCUCACACACCACAGAGGUGUCACCACUUCAUCCAGAGUGCAGAGACCAGGACCAGGAUCCACCACGGAGACCUUCAGGUGAAUUCACAGAAACGUCUGGAUCCACUGAAGGUGAAGGAGGAGGAGGAAGCAGCUGAUGAAAGAAAACCACAGAGUGAUGAAGCUGUUGAUCACAGACAGACUGACAGACCUGCUGCUUCUAACAACAAGACACUGAACUCAACUGGAGACACUUUGUUUUAUUGUCCCACCAACAUGUGAUGGAGCUGUGAGCUUAUUUCACACUAACACGUCUCCAUCAAACAUCUUUAACAACACAAAACUGUUUAUGAUCAAUGAUUGUAUCAUGAACAGUUAAAUGUCGUUAACGUGUUCGUCUGUAAAAUGACCUCACGGCUCCGUCACAGUGGGAAUAAAAACAAAGUGUUUGCAGUU